rnacentral:rRNA from 1 species
AGUGAACGCUGGCGGCAGGCCUAACACAUGCAAGUCGAACGGCAGCACAGUAAGAGCUUGCUCUUACGGGUGGCGAGUGGCGGACGGGUGAGGAAUACAUCGGAAUCUACUUUUUCGUGGGGGAUAACGUAGGGAAACUUACGCUAAUACCGCAUACGACCUACGGGUGAAAGCAGGGGAUCUUCGGACCUUGCGCGACUGAAUGAGCCGAUGUCGGAUUAGCUAGUUGGCGGGGUAAAGGCCCACCAAGGCGACGAUCCGUAGCUGGUCUGAGAGGAUGAUCAGCCACACUGGAACUGAGACACGGUCCAGACUCCUACGGGAGGCAGCAGUGGGGAAUAUUGGACAAUGGGCGCAAGCCUGAUCCAGCCAUACCGCGUGGGUGAAGAAGGCCUUCGGGUUGUAAAGCCCUUUUGUUGGGAAAGAAAAGCAGCAGGUUAAUACCCCGCUGUUCUGACGGUACCCAAAGAAUAAGCACCGGCUAACUUCGUG